UUAAAUUGAAGAGUUUGAUCAUGGCUCAGAUUGAACGCUGGCGGCAGGCCUAACACAUGCAAGUCGAACGGUAACAGGAAACAGCUUGCUGUUUCGCUGACGAGUGGCGGACGGGUGAGUAAUGUCUGGGAAACUGCCUGAUGGAGGGGGAUAACUACUGGAAACGGUAGCUAAUACCGCAUAACGUCGCAAGACCAAAGAGGGGGACCUUAGGGCCUCUUGCCAUCGGAUGUGCCCAGAUGGGAUUAGCUAGUAGGUGGGGUAACGGCUCACCUAGGCGACGAUCCCUAGCUGGUCUGAGAGGAUGACCAGCCACACUGGAACUGAGACACGGUCCAGACUCCUACGGGAGGCAGCAGUGGGGAAUAUUGCACAAUGGGCGCAAGCCUGAUGCAGCCAUGCCGCGUGUAUGAAGAAGGCCUUCGGGUUGUAAAGUACUUUCAGCGGGGAGGAAGGGAGUAAAGUUAAUACCUUUGCUCAUUGACGUUACCCGCAGAAGAAGCACCGGCUAACUCCGUGCCAGCAGCCGCGGUAAUACGGAGGGUGCAAGCGUUAAUCGGAAUUACUGGGCGUAAAGCGCACGCAGGCGGUUUGUUAAGUCAGAUGUGAAAUCCCCGGGCUCAACCUGGGAACUGCAUCUGAUACUGGCAAGCUUGAGUCUCGUAGAGGGGGGUAGAAUUCCAGGUGUAGCGGUGAAAUGCGUAGAGAUCUGGAGGAAUACCGGUGGCGAAGGCGGCCCCCUGGACGAAGACUGACGCUCAGGUGCGAAAGCGUGGGGAGCAAACAGGAUUAGAUACCCUGGUAGUCCACGCCGUAAACGAUGUCGACUUGGAGGUUGUGCCCUUGAGGCGUGGCUUCCGGAGCUAACGCGUUAAGUCGACCGCCUGGGGAGUACGGCCGCAAGGUUAAAACUCAAAUGAAUUGACGGGGGCCCGCACAAGCGGUGGAGCAUGUGGUUUAAUUCGAUGCAACGCGAAGAACCUUACCUGGUCUUGACAUCCACGGAAGUUUUCAGAGAUGAGAAUGUGCCUUCGGGAACCGUGAGACAGGUGCUGCAUGGCUGUCGUCAGCUCGUGUUGUGAAAUGUUGGGUUAAGUCCCGCAACGAGCGCAACCCUUAUCCUUUGUUGCCAGCGGUCCGGCCGGGAACUCAAAGGAGACUGCCAGUGAUAAACUGGAGGAAGGUGGGGAUGACGUCAAGUCAUCAUGGCCCUUACGACCAGGGCUACACACGUGCUACAAUGGCGCAUACAAAGAGAAGCGACCUCGCGAGAGCAAGCGGACCUCAUAAAGUGCGUCGUAGUCCGGAUUGGAGUCUGCAACUCGACUCCAUGAAGUCGGAAUCGCUAGUAAUCGUGGAUCAGAAUGCCACGGUGAAUACGUUCCCGGGCCUUGUACACACCGCCCGUCACACCAUGGGAGUGGGUUGCAAAAGAAGUAGGUAGCUUAACCUUCGGGAGGGCGCUUACCACUUUGUGAUUCAUGACUGGGGUGAAGUCGUAACAAGGUAACCGUAGGGGAACCUGCGGUUGGAUCACCUCCUUACCUUAAAGAAGC
rnacentral:rRNA from 1 species